ACUCAAAUGAAUUGACGGGGACCCGCACAAGCGGUGGAGCGUGUGGUUUAAUUCGAGGCUACGCGAAGAACCUUACCUGGGCUUGACAUCCUUGGAAUCCUCUAGAAAUAGAGGAGUGCCUUUUAGGAACCAAGUGACAGGUGAUGCAUGGCCGUCGUCAGCUCGUGUCGUGAGAUGUUAGGUUAAGUCCUUCAACGAGCGCAACCCUCGUGAUUAGUUGUAUUUUUCUAAUCAGACUGCCUCGGUAACGGGGAGGAAGGGGGGGAUGAUGUCAGGUCAGCAUGUCCCUUACGUCCAGGGCUACACACACGCUACAAUGGCCGGUACAAUGGGCUGCGAAGUCGCGAGGCGGAGCAAACCUCAUCAAAACCGGUCCAAGUUCGGAUUGCAGGCUGAAACUCGCCUGCAUGAAGCUGGAAUCGCUAGUAACCGUAGGUCAGCACACUACGGUGAAUACGUUCCCGGGUCUUGUACACACCGCCCGU
rnacentral:rRNA from 1 species